GUGCUCUGAAGAUACAAGACAGUGUGGACCCACCUUGGCUGUGCUGAGCAGAAGAUUUGACCAGGAGACCUUCCCCGGUGAGUGACUCCCACUGAGACCUACUGCCCCGCUUCAAUUGUCUCCUAGGGAUUCAGGGACAACCCCACUGUCCUGUGAGCAGACCGCUUUCUACCCAAAUCUACAUCACACGCACACAAGGCAACAUGAAUUAAAAUAUCUCUUGUACAUUG